GUUACAUUUGUAAUGAUAACUAAUCUUGAAAACUUAAAUUACACAAGUUAUAUUAAACCUCUCAGUGUGGGUCCUCUGUCAUGAAUACCUAACCACGACCCAGUCAACAAUAAGACAAGUAAACUUGUUUACUUGUCUGGGGCAGACUGGAAAAGUGAUAUCACGUUCUCGCCAAUAAAAAGAAAAAUAUCACAGGCGUGCCUUAGGUACUUCUUCACUGGUUUAGUAGCUUUGGCCAUUUAUCGGCGAUCUUUGGUUUCCCCAUACAUGCAAAUCUACUCCAAGGGUGGCAAUAGGCUUUAAGGCACAUUUUUAGAACAAUAGCCGUCAACGUAAAUUCCCGACCCUACAAUUUCCAGCCCAAGGCCAGCACGCUUAUGGAUUAUUCGCCGUGGAUGUUUAUUACAUUUUUUCAGUAACAAGCGAACUGAAAAAGAAAGAAAUAUUCACAAAAAUGGAAUCUACACCCUUGCUAAAACUGGAUGACAGUGUUUUGGAAACCGUAGUGGAACUGUUAAAUUAUUCUUCUAUGGAUUCGUUUAGUGAAGACGUUAGAAAAAUUAGGCAAUGGAUGAUGAAACAACCGCAUUUUCCUGAAGUGAUGGAUUUGCUUAAAGGAGUGACUCAAAAAAAUUGAAUCAAUCAAUUUAUUAUUGAUAAAAUUAAGAACGAGCCACCCCAUUUUCUGGAAAAUGUGAGAAUACGCUCGUCUUUAUAACAAUAAAAUAAUGACAAGGUAAGAAUUAUUAUAACAUUCAGAAUAUUUUUUUCAAUGGAGGCUUAUGAAUAAUUUUAGUCAUCUGUUUUGGGGCGAUAAACUCAUUCAAAUCAAACAAAUGUCUACGUGACAUUCUUCCGUUGUAAUGUAUUCUUGUUGAUAAUGUGCUGUAAAUAAAUUGUUUGCACUCAUAACCUUUUUUGAUGACCUUGGCGCAUUCAUCAGCAUGCGGGACGUCGAACAUCACGCACAGAUGCGUUUUGCUAUAAUGUCGUUGUUUAUAAAUAACGCUGGGCGGUCGAAAUUUAUUCAUCCUAUUUACCCGUCUGAAGUGCGCCCGGUGCAUCCUUGCCUUACUCGCUUCUCUCUUUCCAAUUGUGCAUCAUUUUUAAUAAUUUACAGAAAUAGUUUUAUUUUCAGGGAGACCGACACUUGAAAAUUAUUUAAAAUGUUAUUAUUAUUAUGUCGUGGAUAUGGAUUUUAAAAUCAUCAACUGACGUUCAGUUAACGUUAGUUUUCUCAUACAGUGACAACGUUCCUGUUGUAUACAAUAAAAUUUUAUGAUGGAUAAGCCAGUUAUAGUGGUCCAACUCUGACUUCGUUUUUAUGGUACUGUAAUCUCAACUACCGCAAAUAUUAUGAACUCUAUUGAAUAUGUAAAUAGCCGUGCCAUAAAUCAUCUUAAAGGUUUACGGACGCAUACGGCCCUGUGUAGUGCAGACAGUUGGUCCCUUGAUGGUUUAUGACCGCUGGAUUACUUGCGGCACAGGCCUAUUGUGGAACACUUAACUCCUUCACAGUAGGAUGCAGUCAUAAAAACGAACCAGCAUUUGCAGCACUAUAACUUCACAGCGGUUCAUACCCACCAUAAAUUGUAGUUUGAAAACCGGACAAAUGGAAUACCAGUAACCCGAGCCGUUCUUAGCUGUCCUUCUGGUUGAACAAUAGCGGCGCAUGCCAAGGCAGUGGGACACUCAGUGAGUGAACAGCUUAGCCAACCCCUCGUAAUGACCUUGUAAAAUUUCAUUGUAUACAACAGAAACGUUUCUAUAGUGAACCAAGACCUAUAAGGUUAUAUGGCCAUCAUAAAAGUAGUUGAUCGCAAAUAAAUACCCCCAUUGUGUGGUUCGCACUAAGCUUACCGGUUGGCAAUAAAUCAUCUUCUAAACAUUUCUUGCUCAUAUUUAACAGGGCCGGCUUUCAAAGCGAGUGGUUAUUUCGGAACCCUCAGCGGCUGCAGGUAGUAAAGAAAUAGUGGAGUGGUGGAUUUUCAUAUUUAGUGAAAGCCGCCCCUGAACGAAACCACAAGAGCCGGUCGAGCUGCAGUGGACACGUUAUUUACGACCCUAAAACCUUUUCUAUUGUAAACAACUUAACUUCGACACAAUGGGAUGAUUUUAUGAUGGCCACAUAACCUUAUAACUCUUGGUUCACUAUACUUUAAUUUUCUUCGUGUUGCGUAACAUCGGUUGCGAGCCACUGGUCCACCCGUAGCGCAUAAAUUUCAACCGCCUUGCCCUAUUUUUUUUAAAUUACACUACAUCUUCUUUACAGACAAUAGUAAAUGCUCUGUUUCUCUUGUUUUAGUAUUGUUAAUGGAUACCUAAUUUGUUGAAUUUAAACCUUGGGUAUCAUCGACAUUUAACAUCAGCAGCUCGUUCGAUCUUAAAGCAUCGUCAAUCCCUACCUGAAAUAAAAUGUAUGACUGGAAAGUUAACAAAUUUACCUUUAUUCACGCCAGGACAAUGGCGCCUGAUAAGGGGACGGUUGCUCGGGCGCCUGGGGUAUCCUAAGCCGGAGAAACGGAUCUCCAGAACCUCGUGAGCGGCCGCGACAAGAAAUAAAUAAUAAUCCGGUUAAGAUUUAAAAAUGAACGGUCUUUAUUUUCUAUCAGGCUAACUAUAACGGAUAAGAUAAAAAAUUAUCGGAUAAAACAGCAACUAAAGGAAAAGAAAAACAAUGCGGUCAAGGGCGUCCUUUGACCUCGGUGGUGGCAGUUUCUCAAUAGACGAACCUGCUUCGGGUGCUGGGGAGGUGGUGACGCUGAAAGUGGAUCGGACGCGGGCGGUAUGCCGAAAGAGGACGGAAUUGCGCUGUUUUAAUUGUGAUUAUUACCUCUUUCCUUACUUGAAGAAUACUGCCUUUAAGGAACCUGUUUAGACUAUUGAAGAACUAAAAACCAAAAUUAGAAACCAAUGCAACAGUGCUACAGAGAGAUUAAUGCUUGUAUUUGGUUUUUGGCAACUAUUCUGAAAGAUAAUUGAUAUUGUUUAUUUCAUUUUUCGUUAUUAUUAUUUAUUAAAUAAAGAUUGGAUAUCAACUUUGUUUAUAAAGACUAUAUUUAAUUUAUCAUUUUGUACAUAUUUAUUUUCAAUAACUUUGUUUGUUUACACCACUAUAACCCAAUUUUUGUAACUGGAUUAAUUGGAUCUGUGUUAUUUAUGCAUUAAGGGCAUAAUCAGGCAGAUUGUGGCACGAGGGAAUCUUUAACGCCCGACGAAGGAAGGCUUUUAAUUUCCCUAGUGCCACAAUCGCCAAUUAUACACGUAAUACAUACAACGUUUUAUUCUAUUUUAGUUUCUAAAUUAUUUUUAACGAAAUAUUGAGUAUUUUCGGCUAGAUUGUGUGAAUUAUGUCGAUGCGAACUUUAAUACAUAGCUGGCUAUUAUUUUGAUGUUGUUAUGGAUAUUGGAUACCACGUUGAUUAUUUGAUAAUUCGUUUAAAAAAAAAUGUUAAAUAUCGAGACUUGAUAAUUAAUUGAUUAGUGUAAAUGAACAAUCAAUUGUUGCUUAGCAAUUUAUGAGAGAUUUGUGCGAUAAAGGCCAACUUACGCCCGCAUUUGGGUGCUUAUAAACAAGACCUACUAGAUCGUAGUAGUGGAACCCAAUGUCAGGGAUGGACGGUGAAAGAUUAGUAAACUUGGCGACAACGAAACGUCAUUUGCGUUAGAAUUUUCAGGAAAUUUGUAAAUAGACGUGAGUUUAGCCAUAAUUCAUUCCACAUCACAUGUAUAACUUGUUUCAUUUUGUUUUGAUACUUAAAUGUAGUGCUUAAAGUUUCAAAAUUUUGACAAAACAACUGUAUGCAAUAGGUGGUACAAGUCAGGCCAAAUUUUUUCUUUUCCCGUGGCCGGUCUCGAUUAUUAUUUUUUUUUAACACAUACAUCUUAAUGCAGUGGUAUGACGUUAAAAUAGUAACAGAUUGGGAAAAUCGUUGUUAUUCUAACUAUUAUGGUUUUUUUCAACUCCUUGCUGUUACUGACCCAAUUAUUAAAUUAUUUUAUUCAUAAUUAAUAAGAGUUAUACGCAAGCUCAAGGCGAAAACAGUUUCCUAAUUUCGCGUUUACGCACUUUGCGUGGCCUUUCAAUUAAUUAACAACAUUAAAUUCGUACAAUCUAAUUCAGUUUCACGCGUAUCAAAGAAGAGGAAAGUAUUCCUAAAUAUGGGAUCUACGUGCUUGCUAGAAGCAGAUAACGAUGUUUUGAGACAAGUUGUGAAAUUGUUGAAUUAUUCCUCGAUAGAGUCGUUUAAUGAAGAUGUUGGAAAAAUUAAAGAAUGGAUAAAGAAGCAACCGCAGUUUCCAGAAGUGAUGGUCGACAAGAAAAUCAAAAAUUUUCUCAUAUUAAAUAAAGGAAGUGUCGAAAAAAGCAAAGAAAAAAUAGAAAAUUACUACACCGUAAGGUCUCAAUUGCCAGAAAUAUUUGAUAAUAUUCAUCCGAAACUCUCAUACAUGGAAACUGUAAAAGCAUCCAUCUAUUUUAUUCCUCUUCCAAAGCUGACGAAUGAAAUGUACAGAAUUCUUUUCUAUAAAGUGCGUGAUCCACAUUUAACAGAAAAUUUUGAGCCUGUCCAUGGUAUUCGUCUGCUGGUGAAUAUACAAGAAAUUCGUAUGACUGAAGAUAUUACCUAUGGGGAUGUGUUUAUACUGGAUGGUAAAAAUACGCCUCUCCGGUCGAUUCUCAAGGUCACACCCAUGGUGCUCUAUAAAGCACUGAAUGUUAUAUACACGCUGUUUACAUCAUCAAUGCUCCACCUUACGCAGAAAAGCUUUUUAAUGCUUUUAAGAGCCUUCUUAAACCUAAACUAAUAGAAAGGAUACACUUUUGCGAAGAUUCGCAUAUUUUAACUGAAAAGUUUGGAAAAGAAAUUAUUCCAGCAGAUUAUGGAGGCAGCGAAAAAUCUUUGGAAGUAUUGCAAGAAAUGCUGUAUCAAAAAUUUAAAGAGAGUGAAGAUUAUUUUACCCAACUAGAUAAACUUCGUAUAAAUGAUGAUUUGAAACCUCGGAGGCUUAUAAAUGAUGAAAUGUUUGGACUUUCUGGUAAUUUUAAGAAAUUAGAAAUUGACUGAUCAUUUGGGUUUAUUUUUGUAUAUGUCUUUUUGUAUUAGAAUUGGUUCAACUGCUUUUAUUUUA